GGAAGAGAGGAUCUAGACUAUGGGCUGACCAGGCCUGAGGGAGUAACCAUAAGGAGCAGCUAAGCCUGGCUUGAAACUUUGCUAAAUGACCAUUCAGAGGGCAGAUGCUAAAAUUCCAGUUAGUCCAGGGCAAGUUUUAAAAUGUAGAAUACAGACCAUGGACCGUUAGAGCCCGUUCUGGAACACCAUGACAUUAUCCCAGCCAUAGAGGAC